GAGCCAUUCUCCUCCCCAGCUGCUCCUCACUCUUCCUCUGCCCCUUACACAUCUCCCCUGAUCUCUGCCCAAGAGAAAUUGACCGGCUUGACACUGACCGGCUUUAAAUGAAGCCUUGUUUGCUGAAACCAUUUCCACAUAUUGAUCUAUGAGGCAACAUUAUACAUCAUCCGGGGAAGAGUGGAGCUGAACAAAGUUGAUAACACAGGCAUCACAGAAGAGGAAUUUUAAGGAGGGAUUUGAAGGCGGGCAGACAUGGAUUUGCAGAUAUUUAUGGAGAGCUCUUCCUAAUGUGAGGGGCAGCAUGGGAGGAAGUUGCCAGACAUGGACUGAAGCCAUCCCAGAGAGGAUAUGAAACUGAAAAGGCAAAGAAUGAGUGAUUUACAUCAAUCACAAGUACGCUAUUCAAGAGGACGCUGCAAGCCAUUCAUUUGAAAAGCUAUUCUAAUGAAUGGGAUUCAUACUUCUAAAAUAAACCAAAGAGGGAUCUGCCAACAUCUUCCCAGAAUAAUCCUUGAUAUCAAAUGUUGAAUAUAUGGAGUCUUUCAGCAUAUCAAUUCAGCCAUGGGAUGUAAAUAUUGAAAAUAGAAUAAAAUGUAUAUGGUAACUUCUGUCUAUUACUGGAGACCACUGAAAAGCAUGAUUGUUUUUCUUCCCCCUAUAGGAAACUAAUUAUUUUAAUACAAAUUUCAUGGAUUUCCAUCUGAAUCUCCUACUGAACUCAUUGUCAGUGGUCAUUUAUUAUUUGAGUCCCUGCCUAUACCAUCCUUGAAUUCCACUAUUUUCUAUUAAACAUUUUCCCCUUUCCAACCUUUACUAUACACUCACUGCACUCUUAUGACCUGUUCCUGCCUCCAUGGCAGUAAAUGGACUUAAUUGGGAGAAGGAUUGAGUCCUUAGACAAGAUCAUCCAGAAAAGAAUAGAAUUAAAGACUGUUCUGAAAUCACAUUAGACCCUAGCACGGGAUAAACAAUAGGUAAAAUGUAUUUUCAGCUUACCCUUUAGUCCAUUUACACUUGCAAAGUAUUUUAAUUCCCUGGGAUUCCCCCCCACCCCCGCUUUCUACUAACUACACAAUACACUGGUUUUGACUGAUGUAGAUUUGCCAGUUGUUUCUGAUUAUGUGUAUUGAAUUCUGAAGGCAUUUAACUACUAUUUAUUUCCAAUAAUCCACUUAUAAGCAUUAGCAAGAUCAGCAUUUACAGUUUAAUUACCUGUUCUCAUGCCAUAAAAUUCAUCAGAGGGCUGAUGUAUUUUGUUUUUUUUUCUCAGAUACUCCUUAAAUGCUUCCAAAGGAAUUGUUGUCUGGAUAACAUAAUUGAACCAAUUCUACAACUUUUCCUGGGGUUAAAUGAUACUAGUGUUUAACAAAGCAAUAUUCCAGUUCUCAAGUCGAUAAGAUAGGAUGGUAAAGACUUGGUCCAGCAUAGGAUCUGUA